AUACUUACCCGGCAGGGGUGAUUCCAUGAUCAUGAAGGUGGUUUCCCCAGGGCGAGGCUUACCCAUUGCACUCUGGAUGGGCUGACUCCUGCGAUUUCCCCAAAUGCGGGAAACUCGACUGCAUAAUUUGUGGUAGCGGGGUACUGCGUUCGCGUUCUCUUC
rnacentral:snRNA from 1 species